rnacentral:lncRNA from 1 species
AUUGAAAUGGUGUAGAACUAAAAUAGGAGUUGGCAUAAUUGGACAUUUUUUCUUAGAAUUAAUCUUUUACUAUUUUUCCUAUCUUGUCUUUGAAUAUCAUUUCUCAAACAUGUUUAAUAUAUGUUAUUUGCUUCACCUCGCUUAUUGAUUUAUUUCUUGAAGUAUUUUUAUGUAUUUGGACGUCCUAUUGUUAUUCACAUACUACCGUGAAUUUUUCAUCAAAUCUAUUGAUUGACUCCAUUCGGUAUUGAAAAAAUAUUAUUGUAUUAGUAUGUCUUGUAUUUCAUAUUUGAGAUGUCACAAAAAGAUUUCCUUAUCUUAUGCUCAUUCCCCUUUUCUUUAAUUAAUGAAAACAUGUCUUAGACUAUAUCAUAUCAUAGUAUUUGGUACAAAUAUGUGUUGAUCUAUAGAAAAUAUUUGUCCAAAUUUUAAGCAACAAUACUUAUGGGUCAAUGUCUUCUUUUCAUGGAUUAGUUGAUUAUAUUGUGCUAGGCUCGAGUUUUUGUAAGAUUGUUUGAGAAAUACGUUAAUUUCCUUUUCAUUGGAUAAUUUGAUUUGUUUUUUUAUAACAUAGAAUACUAUUUAUUUAUGCUUGAGAAUACUAUUUUUUUAUCUCAUCAUUUAUCUAUUAAGUGUAGAAUUUUCGAACACAUUAAUUCUUUUCUUUUAUCUUCUUCUUUGCAUGAAUCUGUCUUAGAGUCCAAAUGGACUCCUUUCCUCUUGCAUUUUGUAAUGGGCCAAUGAAUCCCACUUCUUUGAGUCAAGUUUGAAGUUUAAACCCAAAUAUGAUUAUAUGGCAUGCGGGUGCAAGAAAAUGGAAGAAGAAGAAAAAUGGGUCAAACCCCAUUGUUGAGAUUGCUAAGAGGCUUAAAAAGUCUUGAUUUUUAUUAUUGUGUUAUUCUUAAUUAAUUAAUUUUUUUAUCUAUUUGCUCAUUCAUUUGGGCCUCGAAGCCAACGUUGUAAUUUAAUAUAGGUGAAGCAGAUUUUUGGGCCUUCAAGAUCGGAAAACUAGCUUACGAUAGGUUAUGGGCCAAAAGUCCAAGUAUUUAGACUAGGACAGGUGAAGAUGGGUCAAUAGUCCAAAUUAGCUUAGGACGGGGUUUAUGAAUUUGGGCUUAAUGACCUAAGUCUUUUUAGUCUCCCCCUUUCCCCUUUAUAUGCUAAUUGUGUUUAGUUUUUUUUUUUAGACUUGGCUAAAAAUUUCCGCUGUCAUCAAAAUUUUUUUGCACAAAUCUUAAAAACAAAUUUUUUUUCCUUAAUUGAUUUAUCUUCAAAAAUCAACUUUCCCUUUUAAAGUUAGUCAAAAAAUUAUGUUCAUAUAGUCUGGAUAACCGCAAGUUGUGCCAACAACCUUCCAAGAGUAUUAAAAGGAAUCACUUACUUGAAAUUUCUAAACUUAAAAGGUUUUUUCUAUUUUGAAUCUUUUAUGUAAUAUUUUUAGUUUUUCUUGAUAUUUAUCAAAAAUCAAGUGUCGACUCUAAAAUUUCUUAAAUUAUUUGGAACUUUUCUUUAAUAUUUUGAAAUAGUUUAAAAAGUUGAAAAUAAUAUUUUCCAAUUCAUCGAAUCGAAAAGGGGAAAACGGAAAUGGUGACUCUGUUGGAGACUUUAGCUAGGUUCUAACCAAAUAUUUGAAUUAGCUUCUUUGACUAACUAUUGUAGUGUUUAAACUAUUUAUGUGCUUACGUGUUUAAAUUAUUGUAAUUAUUAACUAUUGCAUUCAUGGCAUAAUUCUUCAUUUUGAUUAUUAAACUAUUUUUAGAUUUCAUGGAUGUCCCGGCCCCUGUUGCUCAAUUUCAAAUAAAGUGUUGGAAAUACAAUGGUUUAUUUGCACAUGAGGCGUCCGAUGGCUUUUCAUAUUUUCAAACCCAAGUCGGCCGCUUAGGAACCUAGUUCAAACCCAUUUUAGAUAUCUAGGAUAGAGCAAAACUAAAACCCUAUUAAGGCAUGAGCCUAGGAUAACCCAAUACCUGAGGGGGUAUUGGGCCUAUUAGAAAAUCUGCCUUGUGUUUAUUAGACCACGAGCCAUAAUAUACUAUCAUCCUUUAUGUGUUAAAUUAAAGAAUAUAAUGUCGGAUUGUAUGGGCCAUUGUCCCUCGGGUUUGAGGGUUUUAUUUAGAUUGUUUCUUUUAACCAAAAAAAAAUCUUCAUCGGAAGGAUAUUCAGAUAUUUCAAGAAGUUCAAAAUCAGAGGACUCCCAAGGAAGUUUAGUUUAGACUUUCUCCCCUGCAUGGGACUGAUAUCACGUAUUUCCCUUUUCCAUAUUUUGUAUCCCCAUUUGUUUUAUUCAUAAAGUUUGUCUAAUAUAUUUGGGGUCUAUGGAACGUCUUUAAAACGGCAUGUAUAUCCUUCAAACGUUAGGCAUACCUCUGGGCUUGAACGGUCCCAUGUAUGAUAGGGCGCGUUAUAAAUUAUUUGUGCGCUAAAGUGCAUCAUUAUUUUGCUUUAUCUAUAUUUGCUUGAUUUGUCUCAUAUAUUUCUUUGGUCAAUUAUUGCAAUUCAUGAACUAACACUUUUACCUUUUGAGUGUUUUUCUUUCUUUUUAAAGAGAGUUUGGUUUGUGAUGGUAAUCAAAGUUGCUCAUUUUACAAAUACUAAAAGCAAAGUAAUCAUUGGCGCCAUCAGUCGCAAAGAAGAAUAAAAAUUUCUCAAUGGCGCACUAUUUUACAUUUUGGAGUUAUUGUUUUAUUUUCUUGUUGUUGUACUUUGUGAUUUCCUUGUAAUCGUACUUUUUAGUUGUAAGGAACUACGCUUGACUUGAAUUCCCAAGAAUGGGAUAUGUAGGUGGCCUAUGUUGGCUUCGGUCAAUCCCUUAGUAAGUUUAUCUUUUUAUUUUACGUGCGAACUACGUUUGACCUGAAUUCUCAAAAAUAAGAUACGUAGGUGGCCUAUGUCGGCUUUGGUCAAUCCUUUAGAAAAAUUAUUUUUCCAUCUUAUGGUGGAACUAUAUUUGAUAUGAUUCCUACCUAAAUGGAAUAUGUGGGCACCACACUAGCUUGAUCAUAUUUUCGAUAAGAUUUUCAUAGAAUCUAGAACAAAUUUUUUGAGAGGAUCUCAAAAUUUUAUCAAGAGAAUCUUUUUUCAAGUUACAUGGAGAUAAAAUUGGGGCAUGUAACUGGGUCAAGAAUUGUUGAUAAGGUCUCAAAAAAUUUGUAAAACUCAAUAUUUACUACAAAGGUUAAACAUCAGACGUUGCUAAAGCUGAGAUCGGGGCAUAGAUUUUGUGAAGUUCUCAAAUUUCAAGCUACACUAUGCCAGAAAACACUUAAGUAUUUUGCAAUCUAGACUGGGGCAAAUUUUUUGAGAAGAACUCAAAAAUUUCCUACUAAAUGAUGUCAUAAGUUACAAAGAAGUUCGAGAGUUUCUAAAUUGGGGCAGAAUUUUUGAGGCAGAUCCUCAAAAAUUCGACAAAAAUUGUACUUCAAGACUGCAAAUUAAUGAUCAACAAGGAGCUUCAGGAGAGCAAGGCAAUUCCAACAUAGUCAGACUCUCAAAAACUAAGAAUUUUUCUUUGGAUGUAGGAACAAUGAAAUCACAACGUUGACAGUGUUAAGCUUGAUAAAAGGCAUUAUCUGACCCACCGUGGCCUUGUCAUAACAAUUCAAACAACUUCUCUUCUCCUUAUUCUUUUUAUUUAUGUUCCUAUUACUUUAUUAUAAUCUCUAAAACAUUAUCUGAUUUUGUAGGGCACUGACCCGUCAUAACAACUUGN